rnacentral:misc_RNA from 1 species
CUUCCUCCUAUUUUCACUACAUAGCCCUGAAUAGAUUGCUUGAUUAAUUAAUUUCUAAGUCAAUUCUAUUUUAUUUGCUUAAGAUUUGCUGAAUACGACUGCUGUGGCUACAUAAGCUAAAACAAAAUGGGGUCUCAAGUCUUUGAAUGUUACUGAAGUAAUGUAUGAGAAAUUGAUGUAAGGAUUUGACAAAAAAAAAAAAUGAUGAUGUAAGCAUAAAUGAAUUAGCUUGUACAAAACAAAUCAAUAAUUGAAAAGAAAAUUAUGAAUGCAUGGACAAAGUGGUUCCAUCCACUAACUUUAUAAUAAUUUAUAAAGAAUGUGCCCACAUCACAUUCCUACAUCUGUUGAACCACCACCAAAUUCUACCAUUAUCCCCUGAAAAAAAGGGAUAUGGGUAUAAAAUUUUAUUGCAUAUUGAAUAUUAUUUGUAUAUAUAAAGAAAAAGUUCAGGAAAUCUUGAAGAUUGCAUGCGCCAAUUUGAUGUUUUAUAGCCAAGUGACAUCAUUUUCUUCCAAAAGAAUGAGUUUGCAAUUUAAAUUGUAUUGUAAAGAUAAUAUAGGAUGAAAUCCCAGAACAAAAAUGAGGUUUUAAGUAUUCAAAUGAUGGAUGUGCAAAGGAAAACUAAUGAGGUUCCAACAUAAAAUUUGUUAUGGAAAUAUAAGAAAUUAAUAUAACUAAUAAUCCAUAAAUUAAAGAUAAAUGGGGCAAGCGCAGGGAAUUAUAAGAGGUGGACUGGUAGAGCCAUGGGUUGUCAUCUUCUGAAUAACUGGCUUGAAGCAACAGCUAUAGAAUGUGACAAAGAGGGGCCAUCAAUUCACAUUACACUUUCUUCCAUUGGCCAAUAAUAAAAAUCUUUGUGCUUCCAUUACUUCAAUCAUGGUGCUACCCUUAUCUUUAUUCGUUGAUGAAGGGGAAAAAAGGAUUCAUCAAGUUAUAUUGAUUUGUUAUUACUACUACUGCUAGUUGCCAAAACGACAAGUAACCUGAAUUUCAGUCCUUUCAAGUGAUAGUUGAUGUUGAUAUCUGAUAAAGAUAAAUUUCUCUCUUUCUUCUACCUCUUGCUAAUUUGUUAUUUCCAAAUAUGGAUUCAACUAGGAGCUCACUGGUACUCUCUUUCUUCCUUUUCUCUCUUAGAAACCAAGAAAAUAUCCAAAAAAAAAAAAAAUCU